rnacentral:rRNA from 1 species
AGUGAACGCUGGCGGUAGGCCUAACACAUGCAAGUCGAACGGCAGCACAGUAAGAGCUUGCUCUUACGGGUGGCGAGUGGCGGACGGGUGAGGAAUACAUCGGAAUCUACUUUUUCGGGGGGGAUAACGUAGGGAAACUUACGCUAAUACCGCAUACGACCUACGGGUGAAAGCAGUGGAUCUUCGGACCUUGCGCGAUUGAAUGAGCCGAUGUCGGAUUAGCUAGUUGGCGGGGUAAAGGCCCACCAAGGCGACGACCCGUAGCUGGUCUGAGAGGAUGAUCAGCCACACUGGAACUGAGACACGGUCCAGACUCCUACGGGAGGCAGCAGUGGGGAAUAUUGGGCAAUGGGCGCAAGCCUGAUCCAGCCAUACCGCGUGGGUGAAGAAGGCCUUCGGGUCGUAAAGCCCUUUUGUUGGGAAAGAAAAGCAGCAGGUUAAUACCCCGCUGUUCUGACGGUACCCAAAGAAUAAGCACCGGCUAACUUCGUG